UGCGGUGACCCCCGGUGCUGUAAUGUGUGCUGCCAUUUUGCAGCGUCACUUUACUGCACCAGGGGUCAUAGCGCAGCACAUGGAGGACACGGCACCCGGCAGCCCGCAAAGGAGAACAGAUCACCGGCUCCCGGACGGGAAUGGCGGAACCUGAGAGGGCCUAGGUCCUAGGAAGGAGGCUGGGAACAAUGAAAGGUGAGAAGGAGCCUGAGACAAAGAGGCGUCUUAUAAGAUUGGAAACCUAAAUUGGUUAUGGAGAAAACAUCUGAAUGUGGAUCCAUGUAGGCGAAACCAAAUCAACCAUGAGUGGGAUCAAUACAAAAGGUUGACAAGCCAAAGAGAACAAACAGAAAACUUUAGAAGAAUAAAAAUACUGCAAGAGAUUUUAGAAAGUAUAUCAAAAUAGAUUCCCCAAGUAAAUUGAACCAAUAAUAUAUACUCAGACUAGAGGCAUGUAGAAACAACUAUUGGAAGAAAUAAACUGCAUUAUAGAAACAAAGUGGGAACCUUUGAGAAAUAAAAGCGAGGAGACUGGCUGCCGCAUUUUACUCUUUACAUGCUCACCUGGAUUUAACCAGUGGACCUGGCGCUCCCACUAAAACUGACAGUAGUAACUUCACAAGAACAGAAAUUUGGAUGAAUAAGUGUUAAAGACAAAAUGAAAAAUUUCUGUUGUCUUUUCAUAUGGGUAACCAAAUGUGUCAUCGCCUGCAAAUGGAAAAUGUCAUCACCUGGUGGACGGUCCGUUGAAAGAAAUAAUGUUCCAGAAUAAAUGAGAGUACUGGUACCAUAAGCCUUCCUGAGUAGAGUGCGGACGGGUCACGUAUCUCACUGCAUCUUCAACCCAUCCAGAGAGAUGACUCUGUUAUCUGGAUAAGCAUCUUCCAGCUCCGACUGCUGACUGGCCAUCCCGCAGGCCCAGGAGCAUGCUGAUUGGUCCAUCCAUUUCCCAGUAACUAGAAAUGAUUCCACUGUACAUUAUCCAGAGUGGCGCCCCUAGCCUAAUGGGAAAUUCACCACAGAUGGUACAAAAAUCUGGUGAGCUACAGUUGUGCCCAGAAAAUGAACAAGUACCUUUCUUUGUUAUUAAUCAA